rnacentral:lncRNA from 1 species
AAACCCAACAGGAUAGGAAUAAAAGAAAAAACAGCCCAUAGGAAAUAUAGAGAGGGAUUGAGGAGUGGGGAUUCGAGCGCCUUUUGUUCGAUUUCUUGCCCUCCCCCGCCUCCGUCCUCUCGAUAUUACCUUCCAGCCCUCGGAUCUCCCACCAGGUACGCGAUUCCCAGAAAUCUCCCCCGAUUUCUCUCGCUUCAAUCCUUAAUAAUCUCUCUUUAAAACCCUAGCUUUGUAUCCUGCUAGAAUCUUAAAUCUGGAUCCCUAUAUUCGCCCAUAUCUGUUGUUUUGGAUCAAAAUCGGAUUUUUUCUCGAUGGAAGAGCGAUUCCGUGGGGUAACGCCUAAAAUCUUAUGCUCCGCUCUUCCCACUUUUCAG